AACUUUCAGCAACGGAUCUCUUGGCUCUCGCAUCGAUGAAGAACGCAGCGAAAUGCGAUAAGUAAUGUGAAUUGCAGAAUUCAGUGAAUCAUCGAAUCUUUGAACGCACCUUGCGCCCUUUGGCUAUUCCGAAGGCAUGCCUGUUUGAGUAUCAUG
rnacentral:rRNA from 2 species